rnacentral:tRNA from 1 species
UCCCUUGUAGCUCAGUUUGUAGAACAUGGCACUUGCAAAGCCAGGGUUGUGGGUUCGAUUUCCCACGGGGGAC